GAUGAACGCUGGCGGCGUGCUUAACACAUGCAAGUCGAACGGAGUUAAUUUGAGGAAGCAAGCUUGCUUGAAGAAUUGAAUUAACUUAGUGGCGGACGGGCGAGUAACACGUGAGCAACCUGCCUCUUACAGGGGAAUAACAACGGGAAACCGUUGCUAAUACCGCAUAAUAUGUUGAAAGGGCAUCCUUUUAACAUCAAAGGAGCAAUCCGGUAAGAGAUGGGCUCGCGUCCGAUUAGCUAGUUGGUAGGGUAACGGCCUACCAAGGCGACGAUCGGUAGCCGGACUGAGAGGUCGAACGGCCGCAUUGGGACUGAGACACGGCCCAGACUCCUACGGGGGGCAGCAGUGGGGAAUAUUGGGCAAUGGGCGAAAGCCUGACCCAGCAACGCCGCGUGAGUGAUGAAGGCCUUCGGGUUGUAAAACUCUUUGGGCAGGGACGAAGAAAGUGACGUACCUUAGAACAAGCCACGCA
rnacentral:rRNA from 1 species